CAACACAUGCAAGUCGAGGGGUAACAGGGAAAAGCUUGCUUUUCCGCUGACGACCGGCGCACGGGUGCGUAACGCGUAUGCAACCUACCUCUUACUGGGGUAUAGCCCAGAGAAAUUUGGAUUAAUCCCCCAUAGUACCAUUUAAUCGCAUGGUUGAAUGGUUAAAGGUUACGGUAAGAGAUGGGCAUGCGUCCCAUUAGUUAGUUGGUGAGGUAAUGGCUCACCAAGACUCCGAUGGGUAGGGGUUCUGAGAGGAUGAUCCCCCACACUGGUACUGAGACACGGACCAGACUCCUACGGGAGGCAGCAGUGAGGAAUAUUGCGCAAUGGACGAAAGUCUGACGCAGCCAUGCCGCGUGCAGGAUGACGGCGCUACGCGUUGUAAACUGCUUUUAUUUACAAAGAAACCUCGGGACGUGUCCCGAGCUGACGGUAGUAUUUGAAUAAGCACCGGCUAACUCCGUGCCAGCAGCCGCGGUAAUACGGAGGGUGCAAGCGUUAUCCGGAUUUAUUGGGUUUAAAGGGUCCGUAGGCGGAUGAUUAAGUCAGUGGUGAAAGCCCACAGCUCAACUGUGGAACUGCCAUUGAUACUGAUCAUCUUGAGUACAUUUGAAGUUGGCGGAAUAGGUCAUGUAGCGGUGAAAUGCU
rnacentral:rRNA from 1 species